rnacentral:lncRNA from 1 species
UACAACACGCCAAAAUAAUGACUUGACUUCGUUUAGAUCACGAACAAAAAAGUAAUUAUACUACCAAAACAGGAGAUAAUUAAAACAAAAAUCAAAAUUAGCAGAGAAAACAAGAGUAUUAUCUUAUUUAAACCAUAGUCUUAAGAUUAAACAUAAACUGGUAGAAGUAGAACCAAUACCAAUUACAGCACAACCCUAGAACUAGACCCACAGUAAGCAAGCAGUAACUGAUAGAUUUAAAUUAAAAACAAAGCCAAAACGGCGACUUAAAUAUAGAUAAACUAGAUCAUCAUCAACGUCCUCAGAUUUAGCAGAGUUGACCACAGUCAGCAAUCACAACAGGCUUGGAGCACCUACCAGAUCCAGAUCCAACAGCCUCAGCCUUCUUAAUCACAUCAUAGCCUUCAACAACUUGACCGAACACAACAUGCUUGCCAUCGAGCCACUCAGUCUUAGCG